rnacentral:rRNA from 1 species
UACGAAGGGGGGCUAGCGUUGCUCGGAAUCACUGGGCGUAAAGCGCACGUAGGCGGCUUACUAAGUCAGGGGUGAAAUCCUGGAGCUCAACUCCAGAACUGCCCUUUGAUACUGGUGAGCUUGAGUCCGGAAGAGGUGAGUGGAACUGCGAGUGUAGAGGUGAAAUUCGUAGAUAUUCGCAAGAACACCAGUGGCGAAGGCGGCUCACUGGUCCGGUACUGACGCUGAGGUGCGAAAGCGUGGGGAGCAAACAGG